UAUUAUUUGUUUGGAGUAUCCCUACCACCGGAUAUCCGUGGUAAUUCUACAGUUAAUACGUACCGUCUUCUUCGGAAGUGUUGCAUAUUACUGUGAACAUUCGGCGGGGGCAACCCUGUCAACCAUGAACACUUUUAUGCGCGAAUCGUGUCUCGACACGAGAGUCCAUCAAAGUUUCUGACCUAUCAGGUUCCGACGGUAGGGUAUUGACCUACCGUGCCUAUAACGGGUAACGGGGGAUUAGGGUUUGAUCCCGGAGAGGGAGCAUGAGAGACGGCUACCACA
rnacentral:rRNA from 1 species